rfam:Stegodyphus mimosarum contig115691, whole genome shotgun sequence.
GCCUUCGUGGUGUAGUGGUCAGCACGCUGGUUGCGUAUUCCAUAGGUCCAUGGUUCGAGUCCCGGCGAAGGCG